GACGUAGGGCGCGAGCGUUGUCCGGAUUUAUUGGGCGUAAAGAGCUCGUAGGCGGCUUGUCGCGUCGAAUGUGAAAACCUGCAGCUCAACUGCAGGCUUGCAUUCGAUACGGGCAGGCUCGAGUUCGGUAGGGGAGACUGGAAUUCCUGGUGUAGCGGUGAAAUGCGCGGAUAUCAGGAGGAACACCGGUGGCGAAGGCGGCAUCCUGGACCGGCAUUGACGCUGAGGAGCGAAAGCCAGGGGAGCAAACGGG
rnacentral:rRNA from 1 species